rnacentral:rRNA from 1 species
CAAGUCGAACGGCAGCACGGGAGCAAUCCUGGUGGCGAGUGGCGAACGGGUGAGUAAUAUAUCGGAACGUGCCCAGUCGUGGGGGAUAACGUAGAGAAAUUUACGCUAAUACCGCAUACGAUCUAAGGAUGAAAGCGGGGGACCGUAAGGCCUCGCGCGAUUGGAGCGGCUGAUAUCAGAUUAGGUUGUUGGUGAGGUAAAAGCUCACCAAGCCGACGAUCUGUAGCUGGUUUGAGAGAACGACCAGCCACACUGGGACUGAGACACGGCCCAGACUCCUACGGGAGGCAGCAGUGGGGAAUUUUGGACAAUGGGCGAAAGCCUGAUCCAGCAAUGCCGCGUGCAGGAAGAAGGCCUUCGGGUUGUAAACUGCUUUUGUACGGAACGAAAAGGUCUGCCUUAAUACGGCGGGCCCAUGACGGUACCGUAAGAAUAAGCACCGGCUAACUACGUGCCAGCAGCCGCGGUAAUACGUAGGGUGCGAGCGUUAAUCGGAAUUACUGGGCGUAAAGCGUGCGCAGGCGGUGAUGUAAGACAGUUGUGAAAUCCCCGGGCUCAACCUGGGAAUUGCAUCUGUGACUGCAUCGCUAGAGUACGGUAGAGGGGGAUGGAAUUCCGCGUGUAGCAGUGAAAUGCGUAGAUAUGCGGAGGAACACCGAUGGCGAAGGCAAUCCCCUGGACCUGUACUGACGCUCAUGCACGAAAGCGUGGGGAGCAAACAGGAUUAGAUAC